CCUACGGGAGGCAGCAGUGAGGAAUAUUGGGCAAUGGACGAAAGUUUGACCCAGCCAUGCCGCGUGUGUGAAGAAGGCUCUAGGGUUGUAAAGCACUUUAAGUAGGGAGGAAAGGUUGUGUGUUAAUAGCACAUAGCUGUGACGUUACCUACAGAAUAAGCACCGGCUAACUCCGUGCCAGCAGCCGCGGUAAU
rnacentral:rRNA from 1 species